rnacentral:rRNA from 1 species
UACGUAGGGGGCGAGCGUUGUCCGGAAUGACUGGGCGUAAAGGGAGUGUAGGCGGCGUUUUAAGUUAGAUGUGAAAUGCCACGGCUUAACCGUGGAACUGCAUCUAAAACUGGGAUGCUGGAGUGCAGGAGAGGUGAGUGGAAUUCCUAGUGUAGCGGUGGAAUGCGUAGAUAUUAGGAGGAACACCAGAGGCGAAGGCGACUCACUGGACUGUAACUGACGCUGAGGCUCGAAAGCGUGGGGAGCAA